UUGGAGGGCAAGUCUGGUGCCAGCAGCCGCGGUAAUUCCAGCUCCAAUAGCGUAUAUUAAAGUUGUUGCAGUUAAAAAGCUCGUAGUUGAAUAUUUGGGCCAGCUAGGAGGUCUGCUCUUUGAGUUGCACUUUUAUAGCUGACCCUUUCCUUCUGGAAAACUAUGGUGCUCUUUAUUGAGUGCUAUAGCGAUCCAGGACUUUUACUUUGAAAAAAUUAGAGUGUUUAAAGCAGGC
rnacentral:rRNA from 1 species